rnacentral:lncRNA from 1 species
GAAUUUUUUCCACAGAAUAAAUCCAAAAAACUCACGUGACAUCAGUCCCAUGUGAGUUUUAUAUUGAAAAAAUAUAUUCACCCACCCCAUGGAUUGUGUGUGAUCUGCAAGUUGUCUAGCAAAAUGCUUUCUGUACAUAUAGUACAACUCAUGAAAACAUGUUCUGACAGCGAAAAUUUAGUUUGCAAAUUGUGUUCAUGGAAAAGGGGGUGAGUAUGCAUACCCACCAAAUUCUCUUUCCGUCACAUAAUUCAUGGGAAAAAAUUGAUUUAAGUCUUCAAACUGCCAGUGUAAUAAAAUUAGAAAUAAAAACAUUGUUCAACUCUCCGAAAGUGUCGAGAGGUCUUUUUAUAAAACAUGUUAGAAUUCAAGUGAUGUCGAUGGAAACCUAUGCAGUAUCUUGUAUAAACUUGUAAUGCACACCAAAAAUGACGGCUGCUAAAUGAGAGAAUCUAUCAUGGUCGACGACUUCGAGUCAUUCUCAAGUCGUGACAAGAAGGUAAAGAAGUCCCUUCAAAUAUUCUACAAUUUCCGAUCCUCCCAGCUUUGAGCUUCCAUAUACUCUAUCAACAAAUGUUAUUGGAACCUAUAAAAAUCACAAUUAGAGAUCAAUAUAAGUGUAAUAUUCACCAAAAGUAAUUCCACGAUAAAAUCCUUUAGCUUGUCGAAAAUCAUGAGCCAAAAUCCCAAGAGAAAUGUUCAAGCACUCAACAAUCUAUCAUACGAGUCUAUUUACGGUCAAAUGGUGGUUCAUAUAAUAUCCCCAUGCUACAACAUAAAAAUUAUUCACAUGGCAUUUUGCUAUAAAAUGCAGACAAUAUUAAACCUUCACUCUCUUUCCAUCAGAAAACGGCUAUAGAAGGAUCUCAAAAGGUACGAACUCAUCUACAAGUUACAGACCAUUAGAGCCUGUUUGAGCCCCAUUAUUCUCCAAAAAUACAUUUUAGAACAGUGUUUUGAUGGAGAAUAUGUAGAAAAAAAAAAAUGAAUUUUUUUUGGUUUACGUGUAAUAAUAUUUUAUUGAAGAAUGUGUAGUUGAAAAUAAGAGAGAAAAAUCUAUUUUAGAAAUAAUGGGAAUCAAAUAACUGCUAAGAAUCCAACUUCAGUAAUGGCUGGGAAAUAAACUUCCUAAAAGACAGGUAACAUUGAGUAUUUUUGUACUUGUGAAAAAGAUUUAUGCAUGAAUGAGCUUCUAGUGAAGGGCAACCAAUGAUGAAAUUGAAAUAAAGUAAAAUGAUAUGCAUGCCCAUCAAUCAUAACGGACUGCAGAUGGAAUAUCAUUGCAAGCUUUGUAUAGUAAUCCAGGGAUAUAGUAGGGGAGCGCA